CCUACGGGUGGCAGCAGUGAGGAAUAUUGGUCAAUGGCCGGAAGGCUGAACCAGCCAAGCCGCGUGAAGGACGAAGGUGCCAAGCAUUGUAAACUUCUUUUGUCAAGGGACAAAAUCAGGCUCGAGAGCCUGACCGAGGGUACUUGAAGAAAAAGCAUCGGCUAACUCCGUGCCAGCAGCCGCGGUAAUACGGAGGAUGCGAGCGUUAUCCGGAUUUAUUGGGUUUAAAGGGUGCGUAGGCGGACUGUUAAGUCAGCGGUAAAAGCCCGGGGCUCAACCCCGGCGAGCCGUUGAAACUGGCGGUCUUGAGAUGUCGAGAGGUAUGCGGAAUGCGUGGUGUAGCGGUGAAAUGCGCAGAUAUGGCGCAGAACUCCGAUUGCGAAGGCAGCAUACCGGCGGCGAUCUGACGCUGAGGCACGAAAGCGUGGGUAUCGAACAGGAUUAGAUACCCUUGUAGUC
rnacentral:rRNA from 1 species